GUGCUUGCUUUGGCAGCACGUAUACUAAAAUUGGAACGAUACAAAGAAGAUUAGCAUGGCCCCUACGCAAGGAUGACAUGCAAAUUCAUGAAGUGUUCCAUAUUAAA
rnacentral:snRNA from 1 species